AUCGAACCCAGUGCCUCAUAUGUGCAAGGAACUCUCAGCCUGGGGGAGACAGAUAUGUAUUGAAGUAUGGACCGAAUUGAGUGGGCCAUCUGCUUGAACAAAUCCUCUGCCAAGACAAAGCCAAGUAUUAGAUUCAGUGGUUGCCUCUGUCACAGACUUCCUGAAGGCAGAAAUGGAGGGAUGCAGAGAUGAAAGCCCGGGAGAAGAAGGCUGCCAUGGAUCCCAACUGCUGUGAAAGGAGGAGAAAUGCAGGGAGCAGCAUCAGAUUUCUCAGGAAAGAGCCCAGCUGAUUUCCGCAGUGGCAGAGAAGAGACGAUAGCCAUCUCACAUGCAGCCUGGCUCCCUGGGCUGUCCUCCUGGAUUCUGAGUCCUCAAUGCUCUGUCAACGCCCGCCUGAGCAGAGCUUCCACCCCCUCUCUGGUCCCAAGGGUCUGGGCUACUGUCGAUGGCUCUGGGAUCUAUUUUGUUUCAGAGCUCAUUUGUUGGAAGAGGAGGAAUGAGGUAGAAACGGAAGAGUGUGUCUUAGUACGUUGCACUUAGAUUUUCCUCCACUCAGUUGAGGGUGGGAAGAAAGUGUUGGGGUGGGGGAGAACCGGAAGCGGGUGUGGGUGAUUCUUGGA